rnacentral:rRNA from 1 species
AUUGAACGCUGGCGGCAGGCCUAACACAUGCAAGUCGAACGGUAGCACAGAGAGCUUGCUCUCGGGUGACGAGUGGCGGACGGGUGAGUAAUGUCUGGGAAACUGCCCGAUGGAGGGGGAUAACUACUGGAAACGGUAGCUAAUACCGCAUAAUGUCGCAAGACCAAAGAGGGGGACCUUCGGGCCUCUUGCCAUCGGAUGUGCCCAGAUGGGAUUAGCUUGUUGGUGAGGUAAUGGCUCACCAAGGCAACGAUCCCUAGCUGGUCUGAGAGGAUGACCAGCCACACUGGAACUGAGACACGGUCCAGACUCCUACGGGAGGCAGCAGUGGGGAAUAUUGCACAAUGGGCGCAAGCCUGAUGCAGCCAUGCCGCGUGUGUGAAGAAGGCCUUCGGGUUGUAAAGCACUUUCAGCGGGGAGGAAGGCGAUACGGUUAAUAACCGUGUUGAUUGACGUUACCCGCAGAAGAAGCACCGGCUAACUCCGUG